rnacentral:ncRNA from 1 species
UUAUUAGGUGUCUAUAUAUUAGAUGAAAAGGGAAUGAGAUAUUAUUAAUUAGUUACCUCAGCUGCCCCCGCAACUGUAUAUGAAGAGAGUGUUCUAAGUACCACUGAAUAAAAAUUCGGGAAGGUAGAACAAUCUAAGACUCAUAAGCCAGGAGACCUGCCUAAUAAG